AUGGACAUGAGGGCCCCCGCUCAGCUCCUGGGGCUCCUGCUGCUCUGGCUCCCAGGUUCCAGAUGUGACAUCCAGAUGACCCAGUCUCCAUCCUCGCAUUCUGCAUCUAUAGGAGACACAGUCAGCAUCAGGUGCAAGGCCAGUGAGAGCAUAAGUAGUUAUUUAGCCUGGUAUCAACAGAAACCAGGGAAAGCUCCUAAACUCCUAAUCUAUUAUGCAAGCAGUUUGGAAUCUGGGAUCCCACCGAGGUUCAGUGGCAGUGGAUCUGGGACAGAUUUCACUCUCACCAUCAGCAGUGUGGAGGCUGAAGAUGUUGGAACUUAUUACUGUCAGCAGUAUAAAAGUUUACCUCCCACAGUGAUACAAGCCAUGACAUAAACCACCCAGGAAAGCAGAAGUGUGAGCCUGGGCUGCACCCUCUGCUACCUCUGAUGCCUUCUGCUGCUGAGAGUUUUUCUAAGUUGCAGGCUUUCUUUGAAGGACACUGGGUACCAUAACUUUUUCUUCAUGCC